CCUACGGGUGGCAGCAGUGAGGGAUAUUGCGCAAUGGGCGAAAGCCUGACGCAGCGACGCCGCGUGGGCGAGGAAGGCCUUCGGGUUGUAAAGCCCUUUUGGCAGGGAAGAGCAAGGACUGUACCUGCAGAACAAGUCACGGCUAACUACGUGCCAGCAGCCGCGGUAAAACGUAGGUGGCGAGCGUUAUCCGGAAUCACUGGGCGUAAAGGGCGUCUAGGCGGUCGGGUAAGAGAGACGUGAAAGCUCCUGCCUCAACUGGGAGAGGUCGUUUCAGACUGCCCGGCUUGAGGGUCGGAGAGGGACGUGGAAUUCCCGGUGUAGCGGUGGAAUGCGUAGAGAUCGGGAGGAACACCAGUGGCGAAGGGGGCUCUCUGGCUCACUCCUGACGCUGAGUGCGCGAAAGCGGGGGGAGCAAACGGGAUUAGAUCCCCUGGUAGU
rnacentral:rRNA from 1 species